rnacentral:antisense_RNA from 2 species
GUCUACGGGCGGCAGUGUCGGGGAGGCUUCGGCCUGCCGGGUGCUGUAGGUACCGGUCUCUCAACCCUGUCAUUUGCCGCCCACCCCC